rnacentral:rRNA from 1 species
GUUGACCUCGGAACAGGUAGGGAAACCCAGGGGAAAA